rnacentral:rRNA from 1 species
CGGACAUUAGUGGCGGACGGGUGAGUAACGCGUGAGAAUCUAGCUUCAGGUUGGGGACAACAGUUGGAAACGACUGCUAAUACCGAAUAUGCCGAGAGGUGAAAGAUUUAUUGCCUGAAGAAGAGCUCGCGUCUGAUUAGCUAGUUGGUGGGGUAAAAGCUUACCAAGGCGACGAUCGGUAGCUGGUCUGAGAGGACGAUCAGCCACACUGGGACUGAGACACGGCCCAGACUCCUACGGGAGGCAGCAGUGGGGAAUUUUCCGCAAUGGGCGAAAGCCUGACGGAGCAAUACCGCGUGAGGGAAGAAGGCUCUUGGGUUGUAAACCUCUUUUCUUAGGGAAGAAAAAAAUGACGGUACCUAAGGAAUAAGCAUCGGCUAACUCCGUGCCAGCAGCCGCGGUAAUACGGAGGAUGCAAGCGUUAUCCGGAAUGAUUGGGCGUAAAGCGUCCGCAGGUGGCAAAUCAAGUUUGCGGUUAAAGGUUCUGGCUCAACCAGAGACAGGCCGUGAAAACUGAUUAGCUAGAGUAUGGUAGGGGCAGAGGGAAUUCCCAGUGUAGCGGUGAAAUGCGUAGAGAUUGGGAAGAA